rnacentral:rRNA from 1 species
AAGCAGGGGAUCGUAAGACCUUGCGCUUUUGGAGCGGCCGAUGUCUGAUUAGCUAGUUGGUGGGGUAAUGGCCUACCAAAGCUUCGAUCAGUAGCUGGUCUGAGAGGACGGCCAGCCACACUGGGACUGAGACACGGCCCAGACUCCUACGGGAGGCAGCAGUGGGGAAUUUUGGACAAUGGGCGCAAGCCUGAUCCAGCCAUGCCGCGUGAGUGAAGAAGGCCUUCGGGUUGUAAAGCUCUUUCAGCCGGGAAGAAAAGGCUGCGACUAAUAAUCGCAGUUCAUGACGGUACCGGAAGAAGAAGCACCGGCUAACUACGUGCCAGCAGCCGCGGUAAUACGUAGGGUGCGAGCGUUAAUCGGAAUUACUGGGCGUAAAGGGUGCGCAGGCGGUUUUGUAAGUCAGAUGUGAAAUCCCCGGGCUUAACCUGGGAACUGCGUUUGAAACUACAAAGCUAGA